rnacentral:rRNA from 1 species
GAUGAACGCUGGCGGCGUGCCUAAUACAUGCAAGUCGAGCGAACGGACGAGAAGCUUGCUUCUCUGAUGUUAGCGGCGGACGGGUGAGUAACACGUGGAUAACCUACCUAUAAGACUGGGAUAACUUCGGGAAACCGGAGCUAAUACCGGAUAAUAUUUUGAACCGCAUGGUUCAAAAGUGAAAGACGGUCUUGCUGUCACUUAUAGAUGGAUCCGCGCUGCAUUAGCUAGUUGGUAAGGUAACGGCUUACCAAGGCAACGAUGCAUAGCCGACCUGAGAGGGUGGUCGGCCACACUGGAACUUAGACACGGUCCAGGCUCCUACGGGAGGGAGCAGUAGGGAAUCUUCCGCAAAGGGCGGAAACCUGACGGAGCAACCGCGAGGGAGGUAAGAAGGUCUUCGGAUCGUAAAACUCCGUUAAUAGGGGAGAACAUAUUUGGAAGGAACUGUGCACAGCUUGACGGUACCGAAUCAGAAAGCCACGGCUAACUACGUG